ACUCCUACGGGAGGCAGCAGUGGGGAAUAUUGGACAAUGGGGGCAACCCUGAUCCAGCCAUGCCGCGUGAGUGAAGAAGGCCCUAGGGUCGUAAAGCUCUUUCAACUGUGAAGAUAAUGACGGUAGCAGUAGAAGAAACCGGCCAGCUACCCGUGCCAGCAGCCGCGGUAAUACGGAGGGGGUUAGCGUUGUUCGGAAUUACUGGGCGUAAAGCGCACGUAGGCGGACUAUUAAGUUAGAGGUGAAAUCCCAGGGCUCAACCCUGGAACUGCCUUUAAUACUGGUAGUCUUGAGUUCGAGAGAGGUGAGUGGAAUUCCGAGUGUAGAGGUGAAAUUCGUAGAUAUUCGGAGGAACACCAGUGGCGAAGGCGGCUCACUGGCUCGAUACUGACGCUGAGGUGCGAAAGUGUGGGGAGCAAACAGGAUUAGAUACCCUGGUAGCUACGAG
rnacentral:rRNA from 1 species